UACGUAGGGUGCAAGCGUUGUCCGGAAUUAUUGGGCGUAAAGAGCUCGUAGGCGGCUUGUCGCGUCGGCUGUGAAAACCUGGGGCUCAACCCCGGGCCUGCAGCCGAUACGGGCAAGCUAGAAUUCGGUAGGGGAGAUCGGAAUUCCUGGUGUAGCGGUGAAAUGCGCAGAUAUCAGGAGGAACACCGGUGGCGAAGGCGGAUCUCUGGGCCGAUACUGACGCUGAGGAGCGAAAGCGUGGGGAGCGAACAGG
rnacentral:rRNA from 1 species